rnacentral:rRNA from 1 species
CCCUUAGAUGUUCUGGGCUGCACGCGUGCUACAAUGGCGUUUCCAGCAAGUCUGCGAACCCGAGAGGGCCAGCGGAUCUUCGAAUUGGCGUCGUGAUCGGGACAGUCGAUUGCAAUUAUUUGACUCAAACGGGGAAUUCCUUGUAAUCGCGAUUCAUCAUAUCGCGCUGAAUACGUCCCUGCCCUUUGUACACACCGCCCGUCGCUCCUACCGAUUGAGCGAUCCGGUAAAUGUUUUGGAUUGGUGCCGGGGCGGCUAGCUGCCGGUCGCUACGAAAUUUUGUGAACCUUAUCGCUUAGAGGAAGGAAAAGUCGUAACA